UCCAAGAGCAUUGACUCACAUUUCCCUGCUGCCAGCAGAGGUGACUUGGACCCUCUUCAUUUCCUCUCCGGGGACAGAAGCAGCAGAGUCCGGGAGCCUGAUGGUGAAGAUGAAGACCUUUUCCUCAGCGAAGGAAGAAGUUUUAAUCCAAAUAGACACCGGUUGAAGCACACGAGCACUAAGCCAACAGUCACGGCCGUUGACUCUAUUGACGAGGACAUUGAAGAGGUUACCCUCAGAUGACUGACUGGAGCACACAGAGUAUAUAUAUUUUUUCAAUUGUAAAUAUUAAAGUAUUUUAAUACAGUAUUUAUUAUAAACAUUUAAACUUUCAAUGGUAAAGUAGACUUAGUAGGGAGUAACUUUUAGUGGCUAACGAUGGCAUAAUCAAACAGGUAGUACUGUUCCUCAAAGCCGCAUUGUAAGAAUGCUUUUUUGUUUCGAAAUGAACCCUAAGGAGAGUUGUUGCUGACUGUUCCUCUGUUGUUACGGCUAGGUCUCACUGAGUUAGCACUGUGGGAAGUUUUACUUCAGUAAAUCUCAUUUCUUUUCCCUCUCAUUUUGAUCCAACCUCAGUGAGCCCAAGCACUGUUUUUCCCACUGAUGGCUAAGUGGAAAUGGAGGGUCUCCGGUAGGAUUAAAGACCUCAGUGGCAGACAGCAGUGGGAUGUAGGAGCUGUGCCCUUGUCUGAGGUGACAGAGCCAAGCCACUCUUGAGUGGUGGUGACAGUAAUGUUGGGACUUCAUUUUCUUGGAAAACCAUCCCUGGGGACUUGAGG
rnacentral:lncRNA from 1 species